rnacentral:rRNA from 1 species
GACGAACGCUGGCGGCGUGCUUAACACAUGCAAGUCGAACGAUGAAGCCGGAGCUUGCUCUGGUGAAUUAGUGGCGAACGGGUGAGUAACACGUGAGUAACCUGCCCUUGACUCUGGGAUAACUGCGGGAAACUGUAGCUAAUACCGGAUACGACCCUCGGAGGCAUCUCCUGGGGGUGGAAAGAAUUUCGGUCAAGGAUGGACUCGCGGCCUAUCAGCUAGUUGGUGAGGUAAAGGCUCACCAAGGCGACGACGGGUAGCCGGCCUGAGAGGGUGACCGGCCACACUGGGACUGAGACACGGCCCAUACUCCUACGGGAGGCAGCAGGGGGGAAUAUUGCACAAUGGGCGCAAGCCUGAUGCAGCAACGCCGCGUGAGGGAUGACGGCCUUCGGGUUGUAAACCUCUUUUAGCAGGGAAGAAGCGAAAGUGACGGUACCUGCAGAAAAAGCACCGGCUAACUACGUGCCAGCAGCCGCCGUAA